rnacentral:rRNA from 1 species
CAAUAGCGUAUAUUAAAGCUGUUGCGGUUAAAAAGCUCGUAGUUGGAUUUCUGUCAAGGACAACUGGUCCGCCCUCCGGGUGAGCACAUAGUUUGGUCUUGGCAUCUUUCUGGAAACUGUUGCUGCACUUGGUUGUGUGGCGCAGCAUCCAGCACUUUCACUUUGAGGAAAUUGGAGUGUUUCAAGCAGGCACAUGCCUUUGGACACAGUAGCAUGGAAUAAUUAGAUUGGGCUUUUGCUCCAAUUUGUCGGUUUCUGGAGCUGAGGUGAGAAUUAAUGGGGAUUGUUGGGGGCAUCCGAAUUUAGCCGUCAGAGGUGAAAUUCUUGGAUCUGCUAAAGACGGACAACUGCGAAAGCGUUUGCCCAGGAUGUUUUCAUUGA